ACUACGGGUGGCAGCAGUGAGGAAUCUUGGUCAAUGGACGAGAGUCUGAACCAGCAACGUAGCGUGAAGGAUGACUGCCCUCUGGGCUGUAAGCUUCUUUUAUAUGGGAGUACAAUGUUCAACGUGUGGAGUUUUGUCUGUACCAUUUGCUUACGGAUAGGCUACCUCCGGGCCAGCAGCCGCGGGAAUACGGAGGAUCCGGGCGUUAUCCGGAUUUAUUGGUUUUAGAAGUAGCGUAGGUGGAUUGUUAAGGCAGUUGUGAAAGUUUGCGGCUCAACCGUAAAAUUGCAGUGGAAACUGGCAGUCUUGAGUACAGUAGAGGUGGGCGGAAUUCGAGGUGUAGCGGUGAAAUGCUUAGAUAUCACGAAGAACUCCGAUUGCGAAGGCAGCUCACUGGACUGCAACUGACACUGAGGCUCGAAAGUGUGGGGAGCAAACAGGAUUAGAUACCCCAGUAGUC
rnacentral:rRNA from 1 species